GUUCGUUACAAACCAUACAAGUGCAAUCACAUAGAUUACAUACUCUGAUUAUCUAUCAUGAAGUUACGUUUUUGGAAUUUGCUUACAGGUUAAAAAAUGUCGUUUUUUUAUAGAAAUGUCGAUCAUUUGUCGUACCUGCACUUUAUUACUUAAGAAGAAAAAUAUUUUUUUCAAUGAUCUUUGCCUUCCUUAAAAAUAGGCCCCCUCCAGAAGUAACUGGUGCAUGAUUUUAUACUUUUGACAAGUAGGAAAAUAAAGCCCAAUAGGUUAGAUUAGAAGGCGGGAUCGCCCAAGAUUUUCUUGAAAUAAGGUACCUAUUUUAUGGUUUCAUAUAAAACAAAAACAGAUUUUAUUAUAUUUUGCCUCAAAUACGCAUUAUUUUGAAAAAUACUACAUAACAACUUUUAUUUCUUACAUAAUUUGCCGUCGGGUAGCAUUUUUAAAAAUAUUUUAUCCAAAAAACACCGAAUGUUCCCCGUUUCGAUCCACUGUGCGACGUAUCGCGCCGUGCAAUAGCAUUAAGACGGAAAGAAAGCUUGGCAAAAAAGAGUAGAAAUGGAACUAUUUUUUUUUAUCAUGGCAACACUUACUGUUUUCAUACAAAAGAGACGUCAAAGUGAUUCAAUAGUUGCCAUAUGCAAGACGUUUUACAUAGACAGACGCACCUAUUAUUUUCUACUCUUUUUUGCCAGACUGUAUAUAGACGGCCAAGCAAAUCGUGAGAGCAAAAGUCAAAUUUUCUAUGGGACGAUAAUGUAUGAGCACAUUAUUAAAAUUUGCCGCCAUUUUUUACUCUCAUGCUUUGCUUAACCAUCUAUAGUUACAUUAUCUAGGUUGGACUUGUGAUUACUGAUGUAUUUAUUGGGUAAAAAAAAACUGGUACUGGCAACAUUCUCAAGUUGUCAUCCAACAAACCAAGCUAACGGCCGAAUGUGAUCUGCUCGUUUACUGUUUUUCUGUGGUUUUUCUUUUCGCUCGCUUUUUUGCGUCGUUGUCAUUGCUGUGAAAGUGUUUUGGUGGUAAAAUUAACUCGGUGAUCGCGAUCGCAAGUAUAACUACUAAAAUAAUGGAAGAAGACACAGAAAACAAAUUGGUAUCCUGGGAUGUGCCGUCAGUAGUCGUCGAGAACUUCAAAAAAAAUCAUAUAAGCAAGGAACAGUUCAAAUAUUUGGUUUUAAAUGAUACUUGAAAGAGCUUUGCAAACACAUUGGGCAACGAAUUAAACUAAAAAGUAAACUACAAGAUUACUUAGACUCAGUUACUGAUACUGAAACUGCAUAUUUCUUCAAUGAAGAUUUAAUGGUUAUUAAAGCGAAAACAAACUGUAUAGAAAUGAUGCAAGUUGAUCAAGAUCAGUCAGUUAUUCUGACAGACAAUACUUUGGAUUUGGAUUCCUACUUAAGUAUACCAAGUAGGCUUUCACUGCCAGAAUUUGAAUUGAAGAGUAUCCGCCAAUGUACUCCACAAGUAAAUAGUGUUCUAAAUUAUUAUCAAAAAUACAAACAAUUCAACUCGCAAAAAAGAAGCAUCAUUGUUGAUGUUUUGGUGAAAUAUCACUACACAUUUAUUGUUAACAAAAACAUCAAACCAGAAGAAUUCAAUUUGCUAGCUGCAAAAAUUGUUUCACUUUUCCCAACUGAAAGUAUAUAUACCUACUAUAUGAAAGCUGUGCCAACAUGCAAAUCUGCUUCAAGAAAAUAUGUGCUCGCUAAAGGCAAAUUAGUGGACAAGGUUCGAAAUCUCCUGUACAUAUCAGGAGCAAAGUGCAGGGGCAUUAAACCCACUUGCUCUAAUAGGGAUUCGGAUACAGAUGUAGAGUCUGUGGAAAAUAAUCAAGGGACUGCUUCAAAUGACGACGCUAUUUGGCUGAAAUAUAACAAUGAGCUAUGGGACCAAGUUUGUGAAAGGUGGAAUAACACCUUUGAAUUAAGACACAAACAAAAAUUUGAAACUGUAUAUGAUUUUCUUGAAACCUGGGCCAUUUGAAAAGACAGCAAAGCAGAUACUCUGCAAUGACAACGACGCAAAAAAACGAACGAAAAGAAAAAGAGCACACAAGCAGAUCACAUUCAGCCAUUAGCAUUUGGUUUGUUGGAUGACAACUUGAAAAUGUUCAAAUUCAAAUGGGAUUCAAGUUCAACCCAGGACCUUGUGCUUCAUAGGCAGAGUCACUACCCACGAAGAAAGAUACAGAGGCCGUUAAAAUACAAAAUAAUUCCGGUGCAGAUUUACCUGCUAUAUUUUUUAAUACCACCCAAAGGCCGAAAAUCUAGGAAAGUCAAGUUCUCAACCAUUGAAUCAAUCCAGGGCUUAUUAGUUCAGAUAGAUGACGCCGGAGAUAUCGACAGCGUAAUCGCAGCCCAGAAAGCUAAGGCUGCAGCCCGGAAGGAUACCGUGCAACCCUUCGUGCUCAUACAAAGACCGCUACAAAACUUCGCCCAGAUAUACAUCGUUAUUCAUGAUAUCAAAUACCACGUGCAUUCAGCUGCAAAGGCGUUCGACUCAUUGUUUACGAUUUACCACGUUUUCCACGCCAAGUAUCCCCAAGUGUGUGAGCACCUCCACGUAAUUAUUCAAAAAAAGUGUAUCAAAUCCAUACGGCGUAUGAUACAGUACCACCGUAUAUAGUUGACGUUUUAAACUUAGAUGUGUAAAAUUUGGUCUUUGUAUUUUUAUUAAUAGUAUAGGAUCCGUACUAAGCUCGAUCUUCACCAACGUGUUAACCAGAUGAAAAUAAGUUUCUAAACAUGUCUCCUCAAUAAAAAUGAAUGGUCAAGAUUAUUUUUUAAAAAUCUUUGAAUUUUUUUUUAAAUAAUAUGUAAGUAAGACAUGUUCAGAAACUUAUUUUACUUAAUAAAAUAUUAUUUUCACCUGGUUAACACGUCGGUGAAGAUCGAGCUUAGUACGGAUCUUAGACUAUAAGGUUCUUGAAAUGUAAAAAUAUACUAAGCUGCAGAAAUUUUAUCUAUGACAUUUGGUCUUAUGUACCUACUUAAGUAUUUGCACCAUCUACAAUUGACGUGAUUUGUUCUAAGUUUGACUUGUAGAGAAUCUUGGUACUAAAAGUACGUCAAAAGUACAUUUUACAUUUGGAACUUAUUCAUAAAAUAAAAACUACCAUUAUUUUUAUGUGUAAGUGAGUAUCUUCAAUUACAAAUAGAGUAAGAGAUUAUGUUUUCUUUAAAUCAUUUACUAUUAGCAAACAUUGUAGACGUACUCCAACAAUUACGUAAUUCCAAGUCAGAAUAUUCCUUUUUAUCUACUAGGUGAUUCAAUUAUUUUGCAGCGUCCUCUCUUAGUGACGGGUUGUAUAAUUGAUUUUAUUAAAAACAUAUUUAAUAAUAUCAUUAUAUUGAUCUACAUAUCAAUUGGUGUUCAACAUAUUGCAAUUAGUGAAAAUAAAAUAAAAAUAAUUCAAGAUUGUAAACGUUUAAAAUAAAAUAAUGAACCAUGACAUGUAGCUCAUACAUAUGUAUUAUGCUUAUAAGUCAAAAUGUUUUACGUUCUAAAUUCAAUUUUAAUACUGUAUAGUGAUACUGAUAGGUUCUGAAUUUGUAAUUACUUUCUUUAACUGGUGCAUAAAAUAAAUGAGAAACUUACA
rnacentral:misc_RNA from 1 species